rnacentral:snoRNA from 2 species
GAGGAUGAUGAUUUUGUUAUUGUCGCCCCAGUCUUAGGAUCCGGACUUCCGGACCUGUGCUGAUUGACAUUGUUAUCAAAUCUGACUC